AACGAACGCUGGCGGCAGGCUUAACACAUGCAAGUCGAGCGCCCCGCAAGGGGAGCGGCAGACGGGUGAGUAACGCGUGGGAACGUACCCUUUGCUACGGAAUAGCUCCGGGAAACUGGAAUUAAUACCGUAUGUGCCCUACGGGGGAGAGAUUGAUCGGCAAAGGAUCGGCCCGCGUUGGAGUAGCUAGUUGGUGGGGUAAUGGCCGACCAAGGCGACGAUCCAUAGCUGGUCUGAGAGGAUGAUCAGCCACAUUGGGACUGAGACACGGCCCAAACUCCUACGGGAGGCAGCAGUGGGGAAUAUUGGACAAUGGGCGCAAGCCUGAUCCAGCCAUGCCGCGUGAGUGAUGAAGGCCUUAGGGUUGUAAAGCUCUUUCACCGGAGAAGAUAAUGACGGUAUCCGGAGAAGAAGCCCCGGCUAACUUCGUGCCAGCAGCCGCCGCAGUAA
rnacentral:rRNA from 1 species